rnacentral:rRNA from 1 species
GGACGAACGCUGGCGGCGCGCUUAACACAUGCAAGUCGAGCGAGAACCAGGGCUUCGGCCCUGGGGACAGCGGCGAACGGGUGAGUAACACGUGGAUAACCUACCCUCGGCACCGGGAUAGCCCGGGGAAACUCGGAUUAAUACCGGAUGGCCCUUCUGACUCUCGAGUUGGUCGGGAAAGGUAGCUUCGGCCUCCGGCCGAGGAUGGGUCCGCGGCGGAUUAGCUUGUUGGCGGGGUAACGGCCCACCAAGGCGACGAUCCGUAGCUGGUCUGAGAGGACGAUCAGCCACACUGGGACUGAGACACGGCCCAGACUCCUACGGGAGGCAGCAGUGGGGAAUCUUGCGCAAUGGGCGAAAGCCUGACGCAGCGACGCCGCGUGAGGGAAGACGGCCUCCGGGUUGUAAACCUCUUUCAGGAGGGACGAAGCUACUCGGGUUAAUAGCCCAGAGGGUGACGGUACCUCCAGAAGAAGCCCC